AUUGAACGCUGGCGGCAGGCCUAACACAUGCAAGUCGAGCGGAUGAAGGGAGCUUGCUCCUGGAUUCAGCGGCGGACGGGUGAGUAAUGCCUAGGAAUCUGCCCGGUAGUGGGGGAUAACGUCCGGAAACGGGCGCUAAUACCGCAUACGUCCUGAGGGAGAAAGUGGGGGAUCUUCGGACCUCACGCUAUCAGAUGAGCCUAGGUCGGAUUAGCUAGUUGGUGGGGUAAAGGCCUACCAAGGCGACGAUCUGUAACUGGUCUGAGAGGAUGAUCAGUCACACUGGAACUGAGACACGGUCCAGACUCCUACGGGAGGCAGCAGUGGGGAAUAUUGGACAAUGGGCGAAAGCCUGAUCCAGCCAUGCCGCGUGUGUGAAGAAGGUCUUCGGAUUGUAAAGCACUUUAAGUUGGGAGGAAGGGCAGUAAGUUAAUACCUUGCUGUUUUGACGUUACCAACAGAAUAAGCACCGGCUAACUUCGUG
rnacentral:rRNA from 1 species